rnacentral:lncRNA from 1 species
CUGUGCCAGAGGUGCGGGAAUGUGACUGAGGGGCAGGGCCCAGCGGCUCCCUGCAGCCAUCAGGGAUGGUGAGGACACAGGGACACAGACACACUGAUGUCCAAUGCUCAGAUUUGGAAAUGUCACCUUCACCACACUGGACAAUGAGGUCACAUGCAUGCAUGCACACAUGCUCACAGAAUCACAGCUCUGAGCCCACUUCAUAAUGAACAGACGGUCCCAUACCCAUCCAGACAGAACACGCAGACAUGCCCCGCCCCGGCCUGCCAUGCACAGAUGCCCACAGCCACCACAGGGUGCACACUAAGAGAGAAGGCGACCCACAGUGUGGGGAGGACAUUUAGGGCCCCUAACAGAGCUGGAGUCCUCCCAGGGGCCAGGCUGCCUGAGCCUUGGCAGGGGGCUUGUGGCUGUGGGUUCCUGAGCACCAGGGGAAGGAGCCCCGUAAGGUGGGAGGUCUGACCGCU